rnacentral:rRNA from 1 species
ACCUAAAAAGCUAGCCCAACCCCCUAGAAAACAACCCACUUUAGAAUAGCCCCCCGCAUAAUCAAGCAACAAAACAUUUUACCCCCUUAGUAAUGGGCGACAAAAAAG